UGGGGAAUUUUGGACAAUGGGCGAAAGCCUGAUCCAGCAAUGCCGCGUGUGUGAAGAAGGCCUUCGGGUUGUAAAGCACUUUUGUCCGGAAAGAAAUCCUUGGCUCUAAUACAGUCGGGGGAUGACGGUACCGGAAGAAUAAGCACCGGCUAACUACGUGCCAGCAGCCGCGGUAAUACGUAGGGUGCAAGCGUUAAUCGGAAUUACUGGGCGUAAAGCGUGCGCAGGCGGUUUGCUAAGACCGAUGUGAAAUCCCGGGCUCAACCUGGGAACUGCAUUGGUGACUGGCAGGCUAGAGUAUGGCAGAGGGGGGUAGAAUUCCACGUGUAGCAGUGAAAUGCGUAGAGAUGUGGAGGAAUACCGAUGGCGAAGGCAGCCCCCUGGGCCAAUACUGACGCUCAUGCACGAAAGCGUGGGGAGCAAACAGGAUUAGAUACCCUGGUAGUCCACGCCCUAAACGAUGUCAACUAGUUGUUGGGGAUUCAUUUCCUUAGUAACGUAGCUAACGCGUGAAGUUGACCGCCUGGGGAGUACGGUCGCAAGGUUAAAACUUAAAUGAAUUGACGGGGUCAUAGCUGUUUCCU
rnacentral:rRNA from 1 species